CCGACCGAACCCGAAGUCCCUCUGCGUGGUCGCUCUCUUCCUCCUUCCUCUCCGACCGGCCGGCACCACCGACGCCGUUUCCCUCCGCGCAGCUCCACGCUGCCUGCGCCUCCUCCCCCUCCCCCGCAGUUCCUCUCCCUCCCCAGCGCCGGCGCCCUCUCCCUUGCGCGCGUUACCGGCGCUCUCUUCCUCUCGCAUGUCCCUCCGCAUCGGUAAAAAUCCGAUUUUCCCCCUCCGGCUCUUCGAUCUGCAGCGGUCGUGCUCAGUCUGCGGCGGAGACUACCAAUACGGCGCGACAGAGCUACUUCUGCCGGUCGCCUGCACGGGGCUGCUGCUGCUUGUCGUCAGGUGAGGAGCUCAUCUCCUGCAGCCGCGGCUACCUGGCCGCCUUCGUCAUGCUCAUCCAGCAUCAACACAGGUCUGACUACGACGUGGCUACGGCCCACGCAGCAGCGGCGGCGGGAUGGUGGCGGCGAGCUCCGACAUGUUCCUCCAUCCGCUCUAGGACUCCACCGCCAAGCACACCAACCUCAAGGCAUAUGAUGUGCACCCUUGGUCGCCCGGUCCGACGAACUGCUAACGAAACAACGCCCAACGUCAUGAGUGUGCUCACGUUCUGCAAUCAAGCAACCGCCCUUCUCCGUUCUCCUCCAGCAGCAGCAAAAGGUUAAACUUUGCAAUCGUUUUUUUACGGUAAGGAAUCAACCCAUCACCCACAUGAAGUUAGCUAGCUGGGUGAUCCUGAUCCAAAUGAAUUAAAGGUGACCUCCUCAAAGUAGUCCAAAGAGAACCUUGCAAGUCCAAGAGAGAACCACCAUACUUGGCAAAAAUGGCAACAUCAAUGUCAAUCAACAGCAUCUAGGCAUUUGGACGAUAAAACAACAUCAAUAUCAAAGAAUUUGAAGAUGCCUCAAAGCAUAGUUUAGCAAAAAGAACACUGGAGGAGGAACUGGAGCAACUCUGCUUGCCGGAUGAGAUUUGAGCACGAAGCUCCUUAACUCGAAGGCCGGAGUGAACAAACAUCCCAGCAAUCAUGUGCUGCCAAGGACACUUAAUAAUCUCGAGUGAAGUUGGAAGCCAUUGGAUCUUUUUCGAACUGCAACUAGCAGGACAUCAACUCCAAAAUUAUCAAAGAGUGCAGAGGAGGAGCAGCAACAACAACACGGGCACGGGAGAAGCAGGCGAUAGGGGAGAAUCACGGGAGACAGCAGAGCUCCACCAGCAGGAGCUCGAGGAGAAGCAGCAGUGGGAGCUCGGGAAGAAGCAGCAACCGGAGCUCAAGGAGGAGCAACAGCGGGAGCUCGAGGACGCGCGGGAGAGCAGUUCUGGGCGGAAGCGCGGAUCUUGGCGGCGGUGCAUGUAUGGGCGGCGGCGGCAGAGCAGUUGGGCGGCAACGCAAGUCUGGGCGACGGGAGGGGAUCGAGGCGGCGGAGGCGACGCCCCUAGGAACCGCGGCUGGAGGGGACCGCAGCUGGCCGGCGCCGGCCCCUCUCGGACGAUGAGCGGAGGAAGAAGACGGGGCGGAGGGGUCUGUUUGAGACAAUUUUGAGAUGACGAGGUUUUGUUUGCAAAUUUACCAAUGAACUGGGCGUGCGACAUUAAUUUCGGGACGG